AAGUCGUAACAAGGUAUCUGUAGGUGAACCUGCAGAUGGAUCAUUUCGAUGAAAAACCUUUUUUCUUGAGGUGUGGCUCGCACCUGUCUAACUAAACUUGAGCUACCCCCUUUUAACACGGUUGCAUCGGUUGGCUGUCCAACAGCGCGGACCUCGCGUUCGCUGCUGGAAAGGCGGUCAACACUUUUUACACCAAAACACUUUUGAUGAUCUAGGAGUUGAAUGAAAGAAAAAGUUUAAUUUUUUAACUAAAAAACAACUUUUGGCAACGGAUCUCUUGGUUCUCC
rnacentral:misc_RNA from 1 species